CGCCUGUUUAACAAAAACAUGUCUUUAUUGAUAAUAAUUUAAAGUCUAACCUGCCCACUGAUAGUAAUUAAAGGGCCGCGGUAUUUUGACCGUGCAAAGGUAGCAUAAUCAUUAGUUUUUUAAUUGGAAGCUUGUAUGAAUGGUUGGACAAGGUAUUUUCUGUCUCAUAUUUAUUAUUUUGAAUUUUACUUUUUAGUGAAAAGGCUGAAAUUUGAUUGAAGGACGAGAAGACCCUAUAGAUCUUUAUAUUAAUAAUUUAAUAUUUUAAUUAGAUAUUAUUUAUUAUAUUAUUUUAUUUUAUUUAGUUGGGGUGACUAGAAGAUUAACUUAACUCUUCUUUAUAAAUUACAAUAAUUAUUGAUUUAUUUGAUCCUUUAUUAAUGAUUAUAAGAAUAAGUUACCUUAGGGAUAACAGCGUUAUCUUUUUUAAGAGUUGAUAUCUACAAAAAGGAUUGCGACCUCGAUGUUGGAUUAAA
rnacentral:rRNA from 1 species